rnacentral:rRNA from 1 species
GACGUGCUAAUCUGCGAUAAGCGUCGGUAAGGUGAUAUGAACCGUUAUAACCGGCGAUUUCCGAAUGGGGAAACCCAGUGUGAUUCGUCACACUAUCAUUAACUGAAUCCAUAGGUUAAUGAGGCGAACCGGGGGAACUGAAACAUCUAAGUACCCCGAGGAAAAGAAAUCAACCGAGAUUCCCCCAGUAGCGGCGAGCGAACGGGGAGCAGCCCAGAGCCUGAAUCAGUGUGUGUGUUAGUGGAAGCGUCUGGAAAGGCGUGCGAUACAGGGUGACAGCCCCGUACACAAAAAUGCACAUACUGUGAGCUCGAUGAGUAGGGCGGGACACGUGGUAUCCUGUCUGAAUAUGGGGGGACCAUCCUCCAAGGCUAAAUACUCCUGACUGACCGAUAGUGAACCAGUACCGUGAGGGAAAGGCGAAAAGAACCCCGGCGAGGGGAGUGAAAAAGAACCUGAAACCGUGUACGUACAAGCAGUGGGAGCACGCUUAGGCGUGUGACUGCGUACCUUUUGUAUAAUGGGUCAGCGACUUAUAUUCUGUAGCAAGGUUAACCGAAUAGGGGAGCCGAAGGGAAACCGAGUCUUAACUGGGCGUUAAGUUGCAGGGUAUAGACCCGAAACCCGGUGAUCUAGCCAUGGGCAGGUUGAAGGUUGGGUAACACUAACUGGAGGACCGAACCGACUAAUGUUGAAAAAUUAGCGGAUGACUUGUGGCUGGGGGUGAAAGGCCAAUCAAACCGGGAGAUAGCUGGUUCUCCCCGAAAGCUAUUUAGGUAGCGCCUCGUGAAUUCAUCUCCGGGGGUAGAGCACUGUUUCGGCAAGGGGGUCAUCCCGACUUACCAACCCGAUGCAAACUGCGAAUACCGGAGAAUGUUAUUACGGGAGACACACGGCGGGUGCUAACGUCCGUCGUGAAGAGGGAAACAACCCAGACCGCCAGCUAAGGUCCCAAAGUCAUGGUUAAGUGGGAAACGAUGUGGGAAGGCCCAGACAGCCAGGAUGUUGGCUUAGAAGCAGCCAUCAUUUAAAGAAAGCGUAAUAGCUCACUGGUCGAGUCGGCCUGCGCGGAAGAUGUAACGGGGCUAAACCAUGCACCGAAGCUGCGGCAGCGACGCUUAUGCGUUGUUGGGUAGGGGAGCGUUCUGUAAGCCUGUGAAGGUGUGCUGUGAGGUAUGCUGGAGGUAUCAGAAGUGCGAAUGCUGACAUAAGUAACGAUAAAGCGGGUGAAAAGCCCGCUCGCCGGAAGACCAAGGGUUCCUGUCCAACGUUAAUCGGGGCAGGGUGAGUCGACCCCUAAGGCGAGGCCGAAAGGCGUAGUCGAUGGGAAACAGGUUAAUAUUCCUGUACUUGGUGUUACUGCGAAGGGGGGACGGAGAAGGCUAUGUUGGCCGGGCGACGGUUGUCCCGGUUUAAGCGUGUAGGCUGGUUUUCCAGGCAAAUCCGGAAAAUCAAGGCCGAGGCGUGAUGACGAGGCACUACGGUGCUGAAGCAACAAAUGCCCUGCUUCCAGGAAAAGCCUCUAAGCAUCAGGUAACAUCAAAUCGUACCCCAAACCGACACAGGUGGUCAGGUAGAGAAUACCAAGGCGCUUGAGAGAACUCGGGUGAAGGAACUAGGCAAAAUGGUGCCGUAACUUCGGGAGAAGGCACGCUGAUACGUAGGUGAAGCGACUUGCUCGUGGAGCUGAAAUCAGUCGAAGAUACCAGCUGGCUGCAACUGUUUAUUAAAAACACAGCACUGUGCAAACACGAAAGUGGACGUAUACGGUGUGACGCCUGCCCGGUGCCGGAAGGUUAAUUGAUGGGGUUAGCGCAAGCGAAGCUCUUGAUCGAAGCCCCGGUAAACGGCGGCCGUAACUAUAACGGUCCUAAGGUAGCGAAAUUCCUUGUCGGGUAAGUUCCGACCUGCACGAAUGGCGUAAUGAUGGCCAGGCUGUCUCCACCCGAGACUCAGUGAAAUUGAACUCGCUGUGAAGAUGCAGUGUACCCGCGGCAAGACGGAAAGACCCCGUGAACCUUUACUAUAGCUUGACACUGAACAUUGAGCCUUGAUGUGUAGGAUAGGUGGGAGGCUUUGAAGUGUGGACGCCAGUCUGCAUGGAGCCGACCUUGAAAUACCACCCUUUAAUGUUUGAUGUUCUAACGUGGACCCGUGAUCCGGGUUGCGGACAGUGUCUGGUGGGUAGUUUGACUGGGGCGGUCUCCUCCUAAAGAGUAACGGAGGAGCACGAAGGUUGGCUAAUCCUGGUCGGACAUCAGGAGGUUAGUGCAAUGGCAUAAGCCAGCUUGACUGCGAGCGUGACGGCGCGAGCAGGUGCGAAAGCAGGUCAUAGUGAUCCGGUGGUUCUGAAUGGAAGGGCCAUCGCUCAACGGAUAAAAGGUACUCCGGGGAUAACAGGCUGAUACCGCCCAAGAGUUCAUAUCGACGGCGGUGUUUGGCACCUCGAUGUCGGCUCAUCACAUCCUGGGGCUGAAGUAGGUCCCAAGGGUAUGGCUGUUCGCCAUUUAAAGUGGUACGCGAGCUGGGUUUAGAACGUCGUGAGACAGUUCGGUCCCUAUCUGCCGUGGGCGCUGGAGAACUGAGGGGGGCUGCUCCUAGUACGAGAGGACCGGAGUGGACGC